GUCUUGGUGAUAGUGGUCAAUGUGCUUGCCUGUUAAACAGGAGGGUGUGGGUUUAAUCCCAGCCAAGGCA
rnacentral:tRNA from 1 species